CUUUUGGUGAAAAUGCAGGGCCCUCCUUGGGGAGCUCAGCUUAGGCUAAGAAGCGGCUCAUUGUCCAGAAGGUCAGGGUGGCAGGCUGAGAGGAAGGCAGGGCUACUGGUGUCCCACAGACAGUGUGGGGUGUCUCUGGGGCCUUUCAGCCAACGUUUUCCCAUUGGCAUAUGUUGUGUGAUGCCCCGAAGGGAUCCUGCAGGUCUGGACCUGCCUUCCUUACCCAAGAUCGUCCUGUCACGGAAAAAUGCUUUGUCCCUACCAUUGUGUCCCUGAUUGAUCCAUUUUGGAGGGGCUCCAGCCACCCCAGUCCCUGGUGCAGUUUGGCGCCCUUCAGUUCAAGAGGAUUUUCUUUCCCUAAGGAGAUUCUGCACUGAGUUCUCAGAGUUGGCUGACCAGAAUCUGUUCCCAUUUCCGGCAACAUUCUCCAGCGUUCUGUCUAGUGCUCCACAAACCCGUCCCAGGAAGGCUGCUGCCGGAAGUGAGGGUGUGCACUCGGCUGCAGUGGUGCUGGUCGGCUGACUCCAACCCCAGGUCAUGGCCUAUGGAGCCCCGCACUCGGAGGCCAAGGAGACCUCCUCCCCUCUCUGCACCUUGGUCUCAGCUUGAAGCAGUGCAGCUACCAGGGGCCAUGUUCUCGGGGCGGAUGGCAGGAGUGGAGGAGGCCAGGCCAAACACAGCAAGCCUUUGGAAACCUCUCACCGGACCACUUUUACUCAUUCAGCCACAUGCCACUUAACAGACGGGCCAUGCACCGAGCCCCGUGUUGUUAGCAGUUCUGUCGGAGAAUGUCACAGUGUGUUCGCACCAACCCAGAUGGUAUGGGCCAGUCAUGUGUCAUGGCCUCUGGAUGCAGUCAAGGGAGGUGGUGAACACGAGAUGGAUGAGGCUGCCGUUGGCCUAACAUGACACAGUUUGACAGUGGACUUUUCAAAAAAAAAAAAAAAAUCAAUAUAAG